rnacentral:rRNA from 1 species
CACCUGACCUCGGAUUAGGCGUGAUUACCCGCUGAACUUAAGCAUAUCAAUAAGCGGAGGAAAAGAAACUAACCAGGAUUCCCUUAGUAACGGCGAGUGAACAGGGAUUAGCCCAGCACCGAAGCUGCGGUCUUUUGGCCGUUCGGCAAUGUGGUGUUUAGGUUGGCAUACUCAGGCGAUGUACUGUGCUAAGUCCAUUCAUGAAUAUGGCUAGCUAUCUGGCCCAGAGAGGGUGAAAGGCCCGUGAGCAUAGUACGUUGUUCUGUCUUAGCCAACCGUUGAGUCGGGUUGUUUAGGAAUGCAGCCCAAA